GACGAACGCUGGCGGCAGGCCUAACACAUGCAAGUCGAGCGAGGACUGCGGUUCUAGCGGCGGACGGGGGAGUAACGCGUGGGAAUGUGCCCUUCUCUACGGAAUAGCCCUGGGAAACUGGGAGUAAUACCGUAUACGCCCUAAUGGGGAAAGAUUUAUCGGAGAAGGAUCGGCCCGCGUUGGAUUAGGUAGUUGGUGGGGUAAUGGCCUACCAAGCCGACGAUCCAUAGCUGGUUUGAGAGGAUGAUCAGCCACACUGGGACUGAGACACGGCCCAGACUCCUACGGAAGGCAGCAGUGGGGACUCUUAGACACUGAGGGCAACCCUGAUCUAGCCAUGCCGCGUGAGUGAUGAAGGCCUUAGGGUUGUAAAGCUCCUUCAGCUGGGAAGAUAAUGACGGUACCAGCAGAAGAAGCCCCGGCUAACUCCGUG
rnacentral:rRNA from 1 species